GUGAUGAAAAAACGCGCCGAGCCGUGACGAGGAUCCAAAGCGCUGA
rnacentral:snoRNA from 1 species